UAUAUAUUUAAAUAAUUUGAUAGUUUUUCAAAUUUAAAAAUUUAAAUUAAUUAUCUAUUUUAAUAAAUUUUAAAAAUAAUAGUAAUUCAGUUUAAAUGUAUACAUCUAAAAAGAAUUGGCAUAUAUAUAAUUUAAACGAUAAGGUACAAUAUUUAUUUUAUUUUUUUCUUCUGGUUGUAGUGGAAGAGAUUUUUUUUGUCCCCGUUAACAUGUCAUUUCAAAGAAAAUAAUAAUUGAUGGGAUACUGACCGUUUCUAGAGUAAUAGUUGAUAUCUGAGGUCUCAAAUUCGAAUUCUAGUUGAUUCAUAUUUUCAGCUAAGUUUAUUUCUAAAUGAAAUAAACGAAGCAGGUAGCGUGUUUACCUAUCUCUCAAAAAAAAUAAAAAAUGAUGCGAUGUACAGUAGAAAGAAUAAUAUAUUUUUUUUACUCUGAGAUAUCGUUUGGUUCGAGGAUAAGUAAAAAGUGACUAUUCUAGGAAUAGGUAUAAAUUAAGGUAUAAGCGGGGAUUAGAUCAAUUUUGCGUUUGGAUGAAAAUUAGGUUAUUACUGGGAAUAAAAAAAAUAGCGUUUGGUUAGGUAAGAUGGAAUAAGAAAAAUAGUGAGUUUUAUAAAUAAAAAAUAAUCAUAUUAUCCUCUUAUUAUAUUUGAAUUUAAAUUUUUAAAAUUUUAAAUAUAUAUUUUUAAAUUUAAAAUUUUAACUUUGAAAUUUUAAAUUUUGAAACUUAAAAUCUCAAAUUUUAAAUUUGAAAAAUAUAAAAUAUCAAAUUUUAAAUUUCAAAUUAAAAUAUCAAAAUUUAAAUUUAAAAUUUAAAAUUUAAAAUUAUAAACUUUAAUUUUGAGAUUAUAAAUUAUAAAUUUUAAAAAUUUUUAAUUUUUUCAAAUAAGAAUAGGGGUGGAAACAAUUAAUAAAAAUAAUUUAUUAUAAUAAAUGUAUAAAUUUUUUUAAAAUUCUACUUAAACUUAAAUUUAAUAAAAAGAAUUUAUUAUAAUAUUUAAAUAUAAUUUACUAUAAAUUUUAUUAUAAUAUUUAAAUAUAAAUAAUAAUUAUUAAUUUAGUACAAUUAAUAAUUUUAUAAUAAAAAUAAUGUAUUAUAAUAUAUAAAUUUUAAAAUUUUAAAUUUUAAAAUUUUAAAAUUUUAAAAUAAGAAUAGGGGUGGGAACAAUUAAUAAAAACUAUUUAUUAUAAUAAAUUUAUAAAUUUUUUAAAAAUUCUACUUAAACUUAAAUUUAAUAAAAAGAAUUUAUUAUAAUAUUUAAAUAUAAUUUAUUAUAAAUUUUAUUAUAAUAUUUAAAUAUAAAUAAUAUGUAUUAAUAUAGUACCAUUAAUAAUUUUAUAAUAAAAAUAAUGUAUUAUAAUAUAUAACAUAUUAUAUUUAUAUAAUUUAGUUUUAAUUCAAUUUAUAAUUUUAAUUAAGUUUGAAAUUAAGAAUUGGAAUAGUGCUAUUCCACCAAAAUGGUGGAAUAGCAAAUUCCUUGCUAUUCCGGGAUAAUCGAGAAUAGCAAGGUUUGACCGGAAUAAAAUAUUCCGGUCAAAUUUCAUCCCGUUUAGCAGAAUAGCGGGAAAAACUUUUGUUAUCCCCGCUUAUCCCCCAACCAAACGGGGCUGAGAGAAUAUUUUUACAUUUAUAUUGUCCAAAUUUGGUGAUUAUCUUUUUGUCCUUGUAUUACGUGUUAUGUGUCUUCUUGCUCUUGGAUCAUGUGUGGUAUGUGUCACCUUUUUAUCCACUUUUUGUCACAAGUGUAUAUUUCGCGCCACAUGGAACAAAGUGUCCUUCAAGGAUAGAAAAUUUUGGCCCACAAAAAUAUUGAAUAUAUAAUUCUUUAUUAGUAAAAAUAUAUGGAAUUUUUUUUUGAUCUAUAUAUAUACCAUUUCAUCUGAUCAAUUAAUUUAUUUGGUUUAAAUUAUUUGAUAAUUUUUUGAAUAUAAAAUUUAAAAUAUUUGUUUAUAUUAAUAAAUUUAUAAUUAUAUGAAUUAAAUAAAUUUUACUAAAUUAAUAUGAGUUAAAUAAUAUAUUAAAAUCUUAAAGUUAAAGUAUUAUUGGCUGUCUCAAAUUAAAUAAAUUAAAAAAUUAGAUAAUAGAAUUAAUAAUUUUAAAAGUUGGACAUUAGAUCAAAAUGCAUUACGAUCCAGAUAAAGUUUUAUAUACUUUUAUAAUUUUUAUUUUUAUAAGUGGUUGUAAUCUCUUUACCUCGAGAUUAGGUUUUUUUUAAGAAACUUUGCCCCAAAAGCGCAUUUAGCUUAGAGAGGACAUAAUGCUAAAAAAAAAAAAAAAAGUGGCGAGCUCAACAACAAGGCGACGUUGCCUCGUUGGAGAGCUCCAAUCCGUCAUCACGUAUUAUUUUUAUCUUUAUUUAAGGAUUUAUAAUCCUUCCUAUUAGAGUUUCAAUUUUUUUUUUAUUUUAUUAUUAAAAAACAUCUUUAACAAAUUGGUGGAUGGAAACAAAAUUAACUCAUAGCAGCAGAUCGAGAGCUCCGUAAUGAAAUGUCAUUGGGGAGCUCCACCACUGCGCAGUUUUAUCUGCAAAAUGUUGAGUUCCAGAACUUGCAAAUACAAUGAACAAAAUCCAAAAAUUCUACAGGGAGGUUUAUCAUUGCAAGAUGACUCGACGAGGAUCACUAUCAUUCCUGCUGCUUUAAGAUUCAGUCCACGCGACCCAUCUCCAUCCCACCCAUCCUCUUUCCUGUAAGAUCUCUUCACCUCUUUCUCACUGAAAAACAAACUAUUCUCUCUCAAAAAUCCUAUCCCUAAUCCUAACAACGCUGCGAAGGUAACGAGCUGGUGGUGCGGCGGCGAGAAAUAAUUUUACAUAUUUUUUAUAAUUUUAUUUCGUACAUAAAAAUUUUUAAAAUGAAUUUGAUAUUUUUUUUUGGCAACGCUCUAAUUUGAGAAUAGUAUUAAAUUUUUCAUAAAUUUUUAGAUAAAUUUAUAAAAUUAUAUUUAAGAGUGAAAUUAGUGUUGUGUUACCCUAUUAUUUUUUAGUUUAUAUGAAGCAAAUAAUGGAAUGAAAAUAAUUCAUUCCAAUUUCCAAUCCACGAAUGAACCAAACGUCUAUAGGGAGCAGACCAAUCCAAUUACCUUUCCAAUUUAUUCACAUUUUAUUAUCUAUUCCAAUUCCAACCUUGAACGAAACUAAUUAUAUUUAAGAGUGAAAUUUUUAAAAUUAUUGAUUAAUUUUUUAGGUGAAGCUUUUGGUUUUUUGUGUAUUUUUGAUCAUAAGCGAUGUACUUUCUUUUGCAAUGCUGGAGCUCUCCAAUGCAAAAGAAAUAAUACGAUUGUUUUAUAUUAUUUAACAUAGUAUUAGAAUACAUAGUUUUGAGUUUGAGUCACGCCAGAUUUAUUAAUUUUUUAUAAUUUUAAUUCAAAUCCAUAUUGUGAGCAUGGUAAAAAGUUUGAGUCGAGACGUGAGCGAGAGUGUUAAAUAUAAAAAAUAUUUUAUUUAACAAUUUUCACACAAAUUAAAUCAAGAUUACUUCCCAUUUCCAUCACCAUCAUGCCAUCUAUGAUGCAUUCAUGCCCUGGAGUCUAUACAUAUUUGUGUCAGUGUGUCACUGGACCAGUUCACCUCAUAUAAUUUUAUGGGAAAACUUCAAAUACCCUCUAUGAUUUCGCACUUUUUCAUUCUAGUACCCUAUGGUUUAAAGUGUAUCAACUUAGUACCAUAUGAUUUCGCACUUUUUCACUUUAAUAUCCUGUGGUUUUAUUUUUGGAUCAAGUUAGUACUCUGUGAUUUCAUUUUUGGAUCAAGUUAGUACCAUGUGGUUUCAAUUUUCUCUUUUUAUUAUUUAUUUCUGGGUAUAUAAUUUAACGAAAUAUUAAACCACAUAGUACUAAAGUGAGAAAGUACGAAACUACAGGGUACUAACUUGAUACACUUUAAACCACAGGGUACUAAAGUAAGAAAGUGCGAAACGACAUGGUACUAACUUGAUACAUUUUAAAUCACAGAAUACUAAGUGAGAAAGUGUGAAACCACAAGGGUAUUUGAAGUUUUCCCUAAUUUUAAUCCACAAAAAUGUAGCAUAAAAAUAACAGAUUAUAAACUCAUAACAGAAGAAAAGUACCAGUAAACAGUUUGAUUGAGAUUUUCUGAGUCUCUUAUUACUAUCUAAAACUGCCAAAUAUUUGUCUAGGGUUCUUUAUUAUUUACUUGCUGUUUUUUGCUUGGAUCCAAAGCAUCAGAAAUUAUCACCUCUGUAAUCAAUCUUAUUACACUCACUCCAUAAAUUAUCAUAAGAUAUAUUUCAUUUCCCUGUGGAUUUACUAGUCCUUUUUUUUUUUUUUUUCGUUUAAUGGUAACCCAAAAAAGUUUGAUAAAAUUAAAACCAUGGUAACAUUUGGAGAGGUUUAAAUUGAGGAAGAGCUUUUUUUUUUGUUGAAGAGUAAAACACACAACAUUGUGUACACAUGAUUCGUCAAAACCCUAUUUUUGUCUCUCUCUCUCUCUCUCUCUCUCUCUCUCUCUCUCUCUUGUAUCCUCUUCUUCCUCAUCUACUACAUUGCUCCGCAAUGAGGGGAGCAAGAUAUGAUUUUGAUGCGAGGAAAGGGCUAAAUGCUUCAUUUGAGCAUCUGGGUAGGUGAUGGAUUUGAGAGAAAUUGUGGAAAUUUGGUGUUUUUUUUUUCAAAGUUUAUUAUAUAGUUUCAGUUGGUGUGGGAUGGUCUAAACCCUAGAAGCAGAAGCCAUGGCUCCGAGCUUGGGCUUCUCCCAGUGGAGGUGGGGGAAGGAGAAGAGAGGAGGGAGGGGAGCCCCUGUGGUGGUGGCCAUGGAAAACCCUAAUUUUUCCGUGAUCCAAAUCGACGGCCCUGAUUCUCCGGCGCGCCGCGGCAAGGGCCAUGGGAGGAGGAGCCCCAAGCAGCUCACUUGGGCUCUAAUCCUCUCGGCCCGCCGCAGCGUUUGCUGCAUUGUUUCCGCCGUGUCGGCACUCUCCGGAGCUCUCAAAAUGCGGCUAAGCCAUGGGCACCGUGUCGUCCCCGGGGACGACAAGCCCGAGAAGCCGCGGCGGCUUCUCAAGCUCAUCAGUGGCUUCCUUGUGCUCUGCCUCGCCGCCGCGCUCCUCAUCAAGCUCUCGGCCUACUGGAAAGGCUGGCGCUUUCAUCAGCCCGAGUUGCAGAUCGAGGGGUGGACGCACUCGGCCUAUCUCUCAUGGCUCUCGUACCGCGCCGCCUACAUUGCGUGCCCGGUUCAGGUCCUCUCUAAAUUCUGCAUUGUUCUCUUCGUCGUACAGUCGGUGGAUCGGAUCAUAUUGUGCUUAGGGUGCUUCUGGAUUAAGCUUAAGAGGAUCAAACCAAGGAUAGAGGAGGGUGCAAUCAAAGGGGAUUGUGAAUUCCCCAUGGUUCUUGUUCAAAUUCCCAUGUGUAAUGAGAGGGAGGUAAUCAAUCACUAAUGACUCUAUCACUCUGCAUAGUUUGAUUUUUUUUUUUUUUCGUUUUGAAGUAAAAAUUUGUAAUUUAAUUCGUGCGGUAGGUUUAUGAGCAGUCGAUUUCGGCUGCGUGCCAGCUCGAUUGGCCUAAAGAGAGGCUACUAAUACAAGUACUUGAUGACUCGGACGAUGACACGGUUCGACUUGUGAUUGAAGCUGAGGUUGUUAAAUGGAGCCUCUGGGGUGUCAACAUUGUUUAUCGGCAUCGGUUGGUCCGCACUGGUUAUAAAGCUGGGAAUCUCAAGUCCGCAAUGAGUUGCGACUACGUGAAAAAUUAUGAGUUCGUUGCUAUUUUUGAUGCCGAUUUCCAACCAAACCCUGAUUUCCUUAAGCUCACUGUCCCACAUUUUAAGGUAGUGAUAUCCAUAAUGACAAAUUCUCCUCCUUUUUUUUUUUUUUUUUUUUUUAAAUCUCUUGAGUUGUAUGAAUAUGUUUAGAAUUAUUCACUCGCCUAUAGAUGAUUUCAAGAAAAUAACAUGGAACUGUGAAUAACUCUAAACGCUGAAAGGAGAUAGCAUAAUUACGUAGGAAUUUACGUUUACGUAAUUUUGGUAAUGAAACAACUUCCAAAUUCACUGAGCUUUCGCUGAAUUUGGUAAGAACAUGUAGUAUUAAAGAAACAAGUGAUCUAUUCUAGUGUCUUGAGUACAUUUGUCGAUCUUGUUUUAUAAUUUAGGGAAAUCCAGAAAUUGGGUUAGUUCAAGGGAGGUGGAGUUUCGUGAACAAGGACGAGAACCUCUUAACUCGGCUCCAAAAUAUUAAUUUGUGCUUUCAUUUUGAAGUGGAGCAGCAGGUAAAUGGGGUGUUUCUGAACUUUUUGGCUUCAAUGGGACUGCCGGUGUUUGGAGAAUUAAAGCAUUAGAGGAUUCUGGUGGUUGGCUCGAAAGAACGACUGUUGAGGAUAUGGAUAUCGCUGUUCGUGCUCACCUCCACGGAUGGAAAUUCGUCUUCUUAAAUGAUGUUAAGGUAAUUAAUGUAUCGAAGAAGCAAUUCUCACGUUAACUUCUGUAUUGAAUAGCUGCUAACUUUGUAUUAGGUUCUUUUCUAGGUUUUAUGUGAAGUUCCGGAAUCUUACGAGGCUAACAGCAGCACAGAUGGCACUCCGGUCCAAUGCACCUUUUUCGUCUAUGCCUUCCAUAGAUCAUAACUUCGAAGGUUUGUAAUCCUCCUAAUUGUCUGUGCGGCCGCAUUGGAGCUUCUGCAAACUUGUUAUUCUAGUAGAGCUUUCAAAAGAAGCACUACUAUCUUUGCUAUUCGGAUCCUUCUCAAAAUGCUUUCCAUUGAAGCUUCAAGUUCGGAGCUUCUGUUUUUGAGGUUCAGAAGCUCAUUUUAGUUUCAUGCCACGGCAGACGCUAUAGAGAUUUUGUUUACCAAAUACCGAGGUUCUGCUUUUCUGAGUAAAGAAGCUAUUCUAGAAGCUUUGUCAAGCAAAGCACCACUUAGUUUUCAUUGUAGCUUUGAUGCAUCAAAAUUCAAGUUUCUAAAAUAGCCUUUUAUGCUUUAUUGCAGAUAUCUAUCUGGAACAAAGACAACUUAAUUCUAUUAUUCUUUCUGUUAAGGAAACUAAUCCUUCCAUUCUAUUCUUUCCCAUUGUUUUGUGUAAUUCCCCCUUUGACUAUGUUCGUCCCCGAAGCCGAGCUACCUGUUUUGGUGAUAUGCUACUUGCCUGUAUUUAUGUCCUUUCUCAACAUCCUUCCCGCUCCACGAUCUUUCCCUUUCAUCGUUCCCUACCUCCUCCUCGAAAACACAAUGUCCGUGACCAAAUUCAAUGCAAUGGUUUCCGGAUUGUUCCAACUGGGGAGCUCAUAUGAGUGGGUUGUCAUUAAAAAGGCGGGAAGGUCGUCAGAAUCGGAUUUAUUAGCAGCAGUAGAGAAAGAUUCAAAAAGCCUUGGCAUCGUAGAGAUUCAGAAACAAGUAUCGGAAAGUGAAUUUAGUGAGCUGAUCAAGUUUAAGGAGCAAGUAGUGAAAGCUUCUUCUCCUGUCAAAAAGGUUAAUAAAAUCUACAAAAAGGAGCUUUGCCUUGCUCUUCUCCUGCUCACCGCAGCGGUUCGAAGUCUUUUGUCCGUGCAGGGGAUUCAUUUUUAUUUUCUUCUCUUUUAAGGAGUAUCAUUCCUCCUCGUCGGAGUCGAUCUAAUAGGAGAACAGAUGAGUUGAUGCUGGAAAAAAGACAAAAAUGAACAUACCAAUUUCACUCAAGUCAUCGACUAUGUGAUUCGGUAAUGAAAACAACAACAGGAUUUAUAUAUAUUAAUUGGGUGAAUCAUGUUACGAGAUUUUCCUGGCAAAACUGGGGAUCAUUCCACGUCUUCGAAGAACUCUUCCACUUGAGUGCGGCUGUAAGUGACAAUUAAUAAAUAACACCAAAUAGAAGAGUUGGGUUCCAAUUUUAUCGAGUAUUAUCGAUAGAAUUUGUAAUUUUGUUCGCUUGUGUUCAACAAUAAACAGCUACAUAUCUGUAUUUAUUCAGUAUAUUGUUGAGUUAAAAGAGAGUUUUUGUACAAUUCUCACCUAAAAUUGGUAGCCUCAUUUUGGUUGUCUUUUUUCCUCUGCUUUCCUUUUCCUAAUUCGUUUCUUUUGGCUGACGAUGAUUGCUUGGGAGUUUUUGGUUUUAGCUCAAGAAACCGUGGGUGGAGACGAACCAAGGAUAAGGGAGUAUCUAAAACAGAACAAUGGCUUUGAUUAUGAUUGAACAAAAGAGGGUGGAGAGGGUCCCAAGCUAUCAAUUGACAAUCCCAUGGAUUACCCAAUGUAAGCAUCUCUUUCGCCAAGUAAUAAAAUAAGAGAAAACUGGCAUCCUGUUGCUCUUAGUUUCAUUCAAGAGGUUUGAGUUUUUGGAAGCAAGAAGUUGAAAUGAUUGCCUGCAGCCCGAAUGCUGAAAGCACUUAUAUCCAUACAUUUCAUGUACCGUAUUGAACAUUUGAUGAAUUAUACUUCGAAAUUGAAAUCUCAUUCCUUCGAUAUGAUCUACAACAUCUAAAGAAGCUAUGUUUGGUGAGUCAUAUGUUCUGAUAAUUUACUAUCUAGAUGUUGCAGAUCAUAAAGGAGCUCUACAGGUAAUCAUUUAGAGGUUGCCGGUUAUAUCGAACGAAUGAGAUUUCAAUUUUAAAAUAUAAUUCAUCAAAUGUUCGAUACGGUUCAUGAAAUGAUUGCUUGCAGUCUGAAUGCUGAAAGCACUUAAUAAGGAGAUAUUAUUGCGCGAAACCAAUGAAUACAUACAUUUCAUGCACUGCACUGAACAUUUGAUGAAUUAUAUUUUGAAAUUAAAAUCUCAUUCCUUCGAUAAUCUGCGACAUCUAAAGGAGCUCAGUAUGAAAAGUCGCAUGUGCUGUUAACCUAUUAUUAGAGCAUGUGCUGAAUUUAGUUUCAAAAUUCAGUAGUAUAAAAGUGACAUUAUCCGAUUCAUAAGAAAUAGGUGUCCACAAUUUAUAAUUCUUGAUUCAUUAACCUUUUGAAUAAUAGAGAGCAGGGCCUCAUAUGGUAGGGUUUUAGUGGUGUGGUGUACUGUGCGCCAGUAAUUUUUAUGUAAGAGGUGGAUGCUGUCCAUGUGCUUAAGAAAAGAAUUACUCAAAUCUGCAUUCUGCAAUGUGUUUGAGUUAAUUAUCUUCUAACCUUACAAGAUCUGGUGAGCUACCAGUUAUCAGUUACAAUUUUAAAGUAUGUAUAAACAGGAAUUAAAGCAUUCGCGGCAACAAAGAUGGGCCAAAUAUAAUCAUAAAUGCAAUAUGUCCCCUGAUUGUUGUAUGUUUCAGACAAAACAGUUGUGAUGUGGGUUCCAUGCUCAUCAAGUGGAGAGUUUUGUUACAACCAUGUGCACUGUUUUCAGCUUGAAAUGAGUGAAACAUGAGUGUUUCCUUUUGUCGCUGUCGCGAAGUUUAAGCUUCCCACCAGUAAUUUCGCGACAAAAGUAGUUGUGUCAGUUUGGUCCUAUUGCUGAGAAAUAUCAAGUGUUCUGUACUUCCCUCUCAUCAGAUCAUGUUGUUUUCUCAGAAUCAGUGAGGGCCGGAAAAUAACCGACAUCUUUGACAUCCAUGUGCCUCAUAUUUACUCAAUACUUUUUCGGAGGUGCACGAAAUCUUAGAAGUGUGGCUUCUGAUCAUUACUUCAUCAGAAUAUAGUAAAUUACUUAGUCAAUAGAACAUAGUAUAUUUAGAGUUUGAAAAGUAAGACCAAACAUAGGUAAAAACCAAACUCUUAGGUUGUAUUCGAAAAUAAAAAUCUAUGAUCAAAUGAUGAUAGUGUUGAUGUUUGUAAUAUUCAAAGUGAAUAAUUACCAAUAAAUACAUCUAAAUUGUACAGCAUGAAGCAGAACGUAUCUGUCGACGAAAGAAACAGAUACAAUGCCCAUCAGAGACACUUCUUCCACUCUGCUUCGGCUAAUAACAUGCACACUACUGUAUCAGAUUACACUGAAAACUAUCUAUCGGAGCGAAGGCUCGUAGAUUUUACAAACCUUCAAAUCAUGGCACUUUGACGAAUCCUCGCGAUGCAACCCUUCACACUGCGAGCGAAUUCAAACCAAUUGAAUUCAACCAUGUUACUUUUUUCAUCAAUCAUAGGGCUCUGCCGAGAAGUCCGGCUCAUCCGGCUUCUGCAACUUGGGCAAAUCCAUGUCCUUGACCUUCUGUGAUCCUUUCCUCGUGCUCGCAGCAAACCUUGAAGCCAAGAUCGACACCGCGAGAUUCUGCUUCGGGUGAGAAGCACUUGUAGAGGGAGAACUGCUCUCCUCUUCGUCUUGUCCCGAGUCGUCUGACUUAAACGACAGCGACUCCCUCAAGCUCAGGCCCUUCGCCAUCUUCCUCCUCUUGAACCGCCGCCAGGCCGCCUGGAUAAAGCAAGCCGCCCAUGUCCUCCAAUGUGGGGAGUAGAACCGGAAGGCGUGCUGCAGCUUCUUGCUAUGGAGCCUUCUGAAUUGUGUGGCGACAAAUUUAAGGUCUUCGGCUCGUAGUGCGAAGGCCUCGACUUCGACUAGUGCUUUUACCGUACGGGUCGAAGAGGGCAAGUUGGUGGUCGACUUGGGGAGGAGGGCCCACCCAAGGAGCUCCUCACCGCAGAAAUCGCCGGGCUUCAGGGCUAUGGAGUUGAAGAAGCCGGUGCGGCCACCAUUGGUGGUGGAGCUCUCGAGCUUGCCGCGGAUGAUGAAGAGCAUCUCGGUGACAGGGUCGCCCUCGCGGACGAUGUAAGUGCCCUCCGUGCUUAAAGAGGAUACGAGGCGUUCACAUAUGGCAUCAAGUAGUUGGCCGUCCAUUUGCGAGAAAAAAGGGACCUACCAUUUUCAAAGAAAAAUGCGGGGUCAGGAACUAUUUGCAAGCAAUAGAUAGAACACUAACAAACAAGAUGUAGUUGCAAAUAGCACAAAAAGGUCAUGUUGGAGUAUCUUGUUUAAAUCUGCUACCAUGCUUCAAAUUUCAUAGCAAAUCAGAAGAUAUUGAUUCUAAUAAUCCUCUCAUGGACAUGUGCGACAAGCAAGUGGAAUCAGGUAAAGCUAAGAGAUAAAUCAAUUGCUUCUUCGCAAAGAGAAGAACAAGCAAUAGGGGCAAUACUGCGUACCCGUCGAACGAGGUCCAAGCAAAGGUGGCGUUGGAUGUCUCGCCGAAGGUCGGCAGGUAAGGACUUCAAUAUCGAUUCUUCGUCCACCCCUCGGGUUGCGAGCCACUUGUAUUGGACAAACCGCCUCACCCGCUCUCGCAGUUCGUGAGGGAGCUGGCGAUGCCUCAUCCACUCCUCGGUGUCCCUUUGCUUGAGCCUCCAUUCCUCGACCCUCACAGUGAUAGAUUGCAGGUAGGUCUGAAAUAUGAUUUCGGUACUGGUCAGCUCGAGAUACACGAACGACGAACACAUAACCAAGAAAUGGUAAAACUAACAUUAAUCAGGUCCACUCCAAGUCUGAUAACUAUGCUACAUUUAUUUAACAGAUCAAUUAGUAACAAUUAACUAGAACUUGGAAGAUCAAGCAAGCACCUUCAUAAUUACAAAACUAACAAGAAUUUUACCUGGACGUUUCCGAUCAAAUGUGCAAAUAAAACAAGGCCAACGACAGCUAAGCAAAUGGCAUACAAUGUCUCCCCGAUAAAAGUGCUGACGAUCAGAGUCUGGCCGUAGCAGCUGAAAACAUGAAGAACAAGGUAUACAGCAUAAGAAAAUAUGUAAUUUUGAAUAAUAGCAUAGAAGAAAAAAUAUUUUCCAACAGAGAAAAAGAAGAGCAAAUUUAAGGAAUAUAAUCAUACCUCAGAUUUUGCAAACCCCACCAGAAUGAAUAGAAGUACUUCUUAACGAACUCCUCAGCAGGAGCCUGAUUGCUCAAUGCAGGUUGGAACAUGCCGAAGAGGAAAGCGAUACUAGUGUUAGUAGCAUCGCAGUUUGCAAAGACACCAGUGCUAUUUGCCCAAGUUUGUUCAUCCGGGCUUGAGAAGUCGCAAUCAAAGUACCUAACAUUGCAUAACGGUGUAUUCCCUGUGCCGUCCUCUUGCUUGCAAUAGGAUUGCCAACAUGUAUGUUGGCGAUCAACCGACAGCAAGUACCAGAUCGCUCCUAAAACCUGCAACAUCUGGUCCUUAGCGCAACAAAAGGCUACAAUAUGAUUUGUAAAUCAAAGAUUAUCAUAUUUCAAAUUGUGGCUUUUGCAUAUACACGUCCUUUCAAAAUUAUCUAUUUACAGAUAUACUAUCGCUGUAAAAUCUGAAUUUACAGAUUUACAGAAGUAGCCUUCUCUACUGGGGAGUGAGGGAUGAAAGUUAACUACGGACGAGCAUAUAUGAAAUUCGUAUAGAGUGGAAUCCAAGGAUACCGCAUGACAUCUUAUUUCAAGAAAUAAGCGGAGAAAACGUACAUGGCUGGCAAUCAUGUAAAGAAAUAGAUUGUACGCAGCUCCGGCCCAAGCAGUCUUCGCAACGACACCCGUGACUUUAAUAAUUUCAUAACUCAAAGGAAAUGUUAAAUAUAGCCUCGGAAGAUAUUGAAUUAAGAUGAUGAGAGCAAGAGUGUUAUUGCUAUGUUGGGGAGUUGAGUUCUUGAUUGCUGGUAUUACUAACCACAUAACAAUCUGCAAAAAAAUAUUAAGAAUGAAAAUGUUAGCUAACAGCCAACUCUCAAAGGCGAAUAGAAGAAAAAUGAAAGAAUAAUUGAUACCCUAACUAUCUAAAUUCCCCUCCCGGGUAAUUUGAUACAUGCUUUAAAUUAGCAUAUGCAAUAAAUCAAGAUCAAAACACACACACACACACACACACACACACACAAACUAAAGAAAUAGUUACCUGUGGUAGAGGCAAUGCUGCAGCUAGGUCAAUAAUAAAAUCCGACCUUAAAUACCUCCUCGCGAUUCUUUUAGGAUCCGUGACGAGCUCUCCCCGUCCGAAACCCCUCGUAUUCGGGGCCACAUACGCAGUUCGAAACUUUAUAACAAUAUGGAUAGCAUAUAAUAGAUCUGCAAGCGAUCGAAAGAUGGUGACCACGAUAGCAAGACGCCAGUCGGUCUUGACACACGAAGUGGUCUCACCAUAAUCAAUCGCGGGCAAGUAGAAGUACAUAGGAUCGAUGAACAAAGCGACCAAGCACGAGAUGAGAAAGAAGCGGUUCCAGUUCAAUACGAAAUCACUUCCUGGGUCAAAUAUUCUCUUCCGCCACGGCUCGCGUUCUUCGGAGAUCACUUUCGGCUUCACAGGAUUUACACCAUUAAGUUUAGUAGCGGCGUAUACGCUGGGUUUUGGGGCCUGGUAUGUGGGUAUAGCUUGGUUUUGUCUCCCAUCUGAGUAGAACCUAGAGAGAAAAGCAGUACUGAGAACUUAUGAAUAGUACACAAUAAUAACAUGAUCAAUUCAAACCCUAAAAAACCAGGUUCACAACUGAAAACAAAAGAACCCACGAUGAUUUUAUUCCAUUUUUAGCAUGAUUACAAAAACAAACAAUUGAGACACAAAAACCAUAGCUAAUGUCCUAAAAUUAGCAUCAUUGAACAUAACCAAACUUGAGUCUUGAAUCAGAAAACUAGGGUUUAUACGCCAUUCCGAUUGCAGAACCAACUAAAUACAAGUUCUAACCUACAAAUCACAUCAAAUUUAAAUCAUUUCAAAUGGCUAUUCAUCAAAAUCGGGUCUUUUGGAGGAUUCACAACUAAAAGCAAAAUAACCCAAGAUUAGAUGGACAUUCCGAUUCAGACUCAAAAACCCUAGCUAAUGUCCUAAAAUUAGCAUCUUUACACAUAACCAAAAUUGAAUCCAAAACAUGUUUUCUGCUAAAACCUUGAACCGGAAAAACUAGGGUUUCUGCGCGAUUCCGAGCCAAAAAUCACACAAAAUCAAAUCAUUUCAAAUGGGUCUCAUCGAAAUCGGAUCUUGUGAGAGAAAACAUAAACUCACCUCACGGUCCUCUGCCUCUCGAGCUGCAUCUCAUCAUCCACUCUCCGCGAUCCAAACAUGGCGAUCGACUCAAUCGACUCCGCAAGCGACCCACAUCAAUCCCUGCCCAAAUUCCCCUUCCGAGGGCUCCAAUAACCACUCCGAUCACAACCAGUAGAGCAACAACACCUCAUCUCGGCGCCGUAUUUGGCUCCAAAACGUAGAACACGAUGAGAGGAGGAGGAGGAGGAGGAGGAGACCUCGCAAGGCUCCGAAUUGGGGGAGAGAUGGGGACGAAGCAAGUUGAAUAACUCCAAAAAAACCCUUUUUUAAUUAAUAAUUUAUAUAUAUUACCCCAAAUUCACCUUUUUUUUCUUUUUUUUUUUGAGGUGAAGUAAUAAUAAACUCCAUUACAUGUGAGCUCAUUCGAACAGAAACGGUAAAGAGAGGAGGAAAUGGACUUCACGGAGAACACCGUCGAAAAAUUAAUUAGAAAAUAGGGGGUAAAUUUGCGCGCAGCUCCCCUCAACUAUAAUAUUUUGAGACAGACCACUGGAGUUUUCGCCUUUUUUAUUUUUAGCUGUGAGUCUUUUUUGGAUAAAAAUAUACAAAACUUGUAAAUUUAGUUAGCAUGUACUUCACGUAAUUCUCACAACUAUAAAUUUAUUAAAGUACGUAACUAGCUUAAAUUUUAAAGUCAAAAUAUAGUUGACUGACUCAAACGAAUAAAUUAAAAUAUUGAAUAGCAAAAUCAAAAGUUUGAAAGACUUAAUGGAUAAUUGAUUCAAAAUAGUUCAUAAUUUAUACAAGUUUUGUAUAUAUUUAUUUUUAUUUUUUUUUGUGAAGUAAUAGCUCCUGGUUUAAUGGGGAAAAAUUAUCGGUUAAAAAAAAUACAAAGGGUUCAUGUUAGAUUCGCCUAUAGGCGAGGGAGGUUUUUGACAUUUUUAACAAAUGGGAUUAUAUUGAUUUUUUUUUUUUUUUUUUUUUUUNAGAAUUACAAUUUCGUAGUUUUUUUUUUUUUUUUACUAGUGACAAAACAUUUCAUAAAACUCCAUCACUAUUUACUAAUUAGAUUUAACCAAAUUUAAUAAAUUUAGUUUGCGUAUUAUUUGAUUACAUGCAGUCAUUAAUAUUCCGUAGUUGAAAUGUAAUAGUCGGCAAAAAAAAUAACAUUUCUUCAAACCUACGAAGCAGAAGAUAUAUAGUUACAGCAAAUGUAUCUGUAUAAUACCAAAUAAAAUAAAUUAAUUAAAACUAUUGUAUUUUUAACUGCGUGCAUCUGUUGUAGUUGUAUUGCACUUACGAGUUAAAUUUGAUUAGAUUUAAUUAACUCAAUAAAUCUAUCUAUGUUUUUAUGAAAAUUAUUAUGUUUUCUAAAAAAUAACAUCAAAAUAAAUAAAGUUUCUCAAAAAAAAGAAAAAAGAAAAAAAGAGCAUUUGUGGGUUUAAAAAUGGUGGCGGUGUUUACAAAGAUCAAAGGGGGAGUGGGUCCCACACAAAAGGAUAUAAAAAAGAGCAUAUGUCGUGGCGAACGCUGCUGACGUGGCGCUGAGCGUUGACUCGGAGAAGCGAAAUGCUAAAAAAAAAAGAAAGAGAAAGGAAAAAUGUAUAGGGACUCCCUCAACUAUAACCGUUUCUAAACGGGUCCCUUUUCUUUUGGAUUAAUAACCCCUAAGCUUUUAUUUUUUAGGAUCAAGCAAUUUUAAUAAAAAAAUUUUUAAAGAAUUUUAUCAAGUUCAAUAGUUUUAAUCACUUUAUAGCAAAUAAAAGUGUUGAAUUAUCAAAUGUUACAAAAUUUUUAAUGUAACUUAAAAUAAAAUUUUUAAUUCAAAAAAUAAAUACUUAAAAAAAGUGUAUAUAAAAAGUAACUUUAAUUUAGUUUGCUGUGGUUUUAGCGCAUUUCACUUUACCACUUUAUGGUUCAAAUAUAUUAUACUUAAUUAUUCUAUAGUUUUAUUUUUAUUUUUAAAUUUUAUCGAAAAGAUUUAUUAUAUAAUUUAACGAAAUAUUAACGAAAAAAUUAGUGAAAAGAUAAAAAUGAAACCACAGAACACUAACUUUAUACAUUUUAGAUUACAGGGUACUAAAGUGAGAAAGUGCGAAACUACAGGGAUGGUAUCUGAAGUUUGCUCUAAGUUAUUUUCAUCUUUAUUAUUAAAGUUGAAGGGUUCAUUUCAGAAUACCCUAUAAUUGAGGAAUCUCAAUGUAACUUUUACCCCCCACCUCCCAAAAAAAAAAAAAAAAGUUACAGGGUGUCCAGCUGGAUUGGAGGAUACAGUGGUGAGACAGCUUGUGGUAGCGUGGGGACAAAAUCUUUCACGGAUCACGAGGUGUCUCACAAAUCCCCAGAUGGUUAGUUUACUUCAGUGAAGUGGAACCUCCCACUGUGUGGUUGUCCUCUGGUGCUCAUGUUGAUUCCCCGUGAUUUGACACCUCACCGUCGCAUUUACAACACAGGACGCAGAAUUUUUUUUAAUAUAUUAUGAAAUAAUUUUAUCGCGUAUUUGUAGAGAAUUCAAACUUUCGAUGAUUGAUUUGAUUUGUCAAAAGUAAAAUUAAAUGAAUACUACAAGAUCAAGUAUUUGGUGUAGCAGAUCAGAUCCAUUUUCUUUUGUUACAGAUAGUGAUCUAAUUUAGUAAAUUUAUUUAGGAAUACUAACAUCAGUUGUUAGUAAUAUUAUUAAUCGUUACGAAUGUUGAUAAUAUUGCAAAGUUGCCAUGACCGUUAACAGAAGGAUAUACCAGUUGAUUUGGUCAUUGUGUACUGACUGAAUAUGACCAAAUUCAUUAUAUUCGACCCGUGCAUAACCAAUUCUUGAUUUGCUAAUUGUUGCAUGAUGAAAGUGUUGGUAUUGUUUCAUUUUGAUGAGUAGUAAGCUUACUUGAAAGAGGUUGCAACAGAUUUUUUAGAUUAUUAGAUGAAAAAGAACAUCUUUGAACGAAUUUACUGCACAUAAGCAUCAUCAUUAUAACACUCUAACAAAGUCCCUUGGAUGAUGCUCCAUAACAUUUUCUUCAUUUGUAUUAAUGUGUAAGGUUACAUGUGGUUUUUUAGACUACAUGUGUAAGCCAAUAAUACAUAAUUCGGCUUAGAAAAGGAAGAUGAUUCAACGAAGUGCUAGUAUGAUAUAGUACGAGAAAAUAGACCCCUUGUCUAAGCUAAUUAUGUUUUACUACUUUUGCAAAUGGAUCCGGGUUGGUGGAGCUCCCACCUAGAUCCGCCCCGAACGAGAAUAUAAGUGGGAAUAAAAAAUAUAGAAAAAUAUAAUUCGUCCUGAAUCAAUUUCCAUCCACAAGUAAAUGGAGUGGAAGGUAGGAGACCUUUCUUUUCUUUGCUUCGCUCAAAAUUUGCUCAAAAUUUACCAAAAUUUGCUUUUAUUCGCGAUCCACUCUGAAUGGAGCAGUAAGUGGGGGCCAAAAAUGAAAUUAAAAUUAACCCGCCCCGAUCCGUUCCGACUCGAUAAAAAAAAAAAGAAUGGAAGGCGGAGAACUCCGGAUUCACCUCAUUUGCAUCCUUAGUUUUUACUCAUAGGUUCUAAGUUACCAUAUAUCACAAUCCAACUAAUUACAGAAAAGAAAAGAUCCCUAUAUAACUAUGUUUCCUACCAUAUAGUAUUGAUAUUUUAGCAUAGUACUUGAUAUAGGCUCUCCUAUUUGGUGUGAGAAUUUUCCGUCAUCAUUGGAUAGUAAGAGUGUCUUCAGAUAUUUGGCUUUUACGUUAUUUUUUAAAAUAUAAUAAAUCAGCUCAUAGAUAAAAUAUAUCAUCUUGCUAAAUUAUAGAUGUCGAGACCUUUCAAGGAACAAAUCAGACUUUAAAUUCAAGUCACACUAAAAAGAUCUUUAUAUUGAGUAAGUUAUCGUUGGAUAUUUUAGUCGAUCCGACAUUCAAACAAAUCGAUCAAAAAUACCAUAGAAGCUCACCAAUGUAUCAAUUAUGUAAGCGACCUUUUACGAGGAACACAAAAUUAGUUUGGGUAUAUAAAGAACCCAAAGCCAUCUCAUCCUUUCCUCGCUCAUGAUACAAAAUAAUAACAAGAUUUCAAAUAAAAUAAUUUAAUGAACUUUUAGUGCGAAUUUUAUCUGAGCCGCACAAACAUUUGUAGUUCAUUUUUCAUUUUCUUAGUCAAGUUCAGUUUCCACAAUCUCUUUCCUCCAUAGUCGAUCUCUUUUGUCUACUCUCCUCUAAUUCAAUUGUCAAUCAAGAUAUGUAGGAUGAUUUUUUUAAGGAAAAUGAGAUGAUUUUUGUGUUAUUCGUAUAUUUUAUAAUGAGUUAUAGAUUAAAAUUACGCAUUUUAUAUGUGAAAAAAUAUAGUUAGAAAAACAAGAUAGAAAAAUAAUUCUUUUUAUAUAUGUGCUUAUUAAUGUAUAUUAUUAUUAUUUGAAUACAUAUUCAAUUCAUAUUCAAAUUCGAAAAAAUAACCGAUUAUAUCCGAAUCUGUUUUUAGCAGGUAUGAUAAUAAAAAUUUAGGGUAAACUUCAGAUACCAUUCCUGUGUGUUUCGCACUUUUUCACUUUAGUACCCUAUAAUUUAAAGUAUAUCAAAUUAGUGUCCUGCCGUUUUAUUUUUAUCUUUUUGUCAGCUUCCUCCGUUAAUAUUUCGUUAAAUUAUAUACAAAAAACUUCAAACACUCCACCUAGGUUUUUCAAAUAUUUACUUUAAUACCCUUUAGUUUUAACUUUGUCAUUGAUUUAAUAAAAAAAAUUAGUAAAAUUUAUAAUAAAAAAAUAAAAAAUAAAAUCACAUGGCACUAAAUUGAUACACUUUAAACCACAUGGUAUUAAAGUGAAAAAGUGUGAAACCACAUUGACGGUAUUUGAAAUUUUUUCAAAAAUUUAAUAUCCGACACAUAUUUGUACCUGAAAAAAAAGAAUAUAGAUGCGAACGUGGUUUUGUCAAAUAUCCGAUCAUUUUCGAUCCGUUUUCACCCCUAACAAUAUCCCAUCUCUUUCUCACACGUGGAAUCAUCUAAUUUAUCUACAAUGAACCGGUCCCCGUUUAAGCCAGCGUUGACUUUGCCGAACCGGGGAGUAACCACAGAACGAGACUCCGCGGAGAAUCGUUGACUGGGCCACAAAAGUCAACACAAAACUAUUCCCUGCACCGGCGCGUACCGUACUCCACACGCGGCCCAGGUAAAAAUGUAUGCAGAUCCCCUCAAUUAUAGGGUAUUCGGAACUUCAGCCCUCAACUUUAAAUUUUUUUUUCCGAAAAAACUUCAAAUGCCACUUUUAUAAUUUGCACUUUCUCACUUUCGUACCAUGCGGUUUAAAGUGUAUCACUUUAUACCCUGUGAUUUUAUUUUUCUCUUUUUGUUAUUUUCUUCGUUAAUUUUUUCGUUAAAUCAAUGACAAAGUUAAAACUAAAUAGUACAAAAGUGAAUAUCGAUAAUACUAUGGAUGAGGUAUUUGAAGUUUUUUAUAUAUAAUUUAAUGAAAAGUUAACAGAAGGAGAUGACAAAAAAAAAAAAAAAAAAAUACAGGGUACUAAAUUGAUACACUUUAAAUCACAAGAUACUAAAGUGAAAAAGUACGAAACCACAUGGGUAAUAUUUAAAAUUUACCCAAAUUUUUGUAUUGACACUCCUUUAACUUUUUUUUAUAUAAAAAAUUGAUAGCUCUUUUAGCUAUUAACAAGUAAUUAAUCUAAUUUUAUCUACUAUGAUUGAGUUAAACUAAAUAAUUUGUUAUGCUAAAAUCACUUAAUUCCAAAAAACUAACCGCUCAUGGAAUCUCAAAAAAAUGAGGGGCUAUCUUAAAAUGGUAUAUAGGUGAGGGAGUUUUCAUUCAAUUUUACCUAUAUUUUAAUCAACGGAAAAGUAAAAUAGUACGCUAUUUCAAAAUUUAUUUCUUUUUAAAUAGGCCUUUUUGAAUAUCAUCAUAGAACACAUUUAGGAGGGCGGUGCAUGAGCUGUACUUGUACACCCGGUGCAGGGAAUAGCUUUGCAACUUAACUAACUCAUUAAAAUGAGUCAACGUCUCCCGCGUGAUGAGGUCGUUAUGACCUCUUUAUGAGCCUUGUGACAACCUCUUUCUGGGGUUUUGUGGGAGUGGGGCCCACCAACUCCGAUGUCAAACUCAUGGGUCGUGGGGCCCACCCGUUGGAGGGGGAAGGAACGUGUCAACAGCGUGGACGCUAUUAUCGGGAUGCAACAUCACCCGCCUGCACGACUAUUAAAGCGUGGCUCAGGCAAUUUGGACGGUGGGCAUUUGCCCUAGUUAGAGAUGUCAACGGGUCGGGGCGGAUUUUUAAAGAUCCGAACCCGAAUCCGACUCCAAACCCGAGACCCAAACCAGAAUCCGAACCCGACGGAUUUUAAAAAUCCAUAUCCAAAGCCGAACCCGGCCAAAAAUUCGAAACCCAAACCCGAAAAUUUGAACCAUGAAACAAUUAUUUCUUUUUUCAAUAUUUCAAAAUAUAUUAUAUUAAAUCUAAAUUUUUAAAAUACAAAUUCAAAUAUAACAUCAAAUUUAUAUAUAUAUAUAUAUUAUAUAUAAUACAAAAUAAAUUCGGGUUCGGAUUGGGUUCGGGUCGGGUCGGGUUCAAUCAAAAUUCAUAUCUGAAUCUAUAUCCGUCGGGUUUCUAUUUCUGAUAUCCAUAUCUAAAUCCAUCGGAUAUAUCUGUUUCAUUCGGAUUCGGAUUCGGCUAAAAUUUCGACUAUCCAUACCCAUUGACAUCCCUAGCCCUAGUCCUCCCCAAAGAAUGAAAAAUAAAUAAAAUUAUGCCAAACUUAUUUGAAUUGUGUAUUAUUUUAAAUUAAUUAUUAUUAUUUUAAAAUUUGUAAUUUACUAUUUAAUUUUUAAAUUUAUUUGAUUUGAGUUUGCUAAUGGUAUUUUGACUUUAGAAUUUAAGCUGAUUACUUACUUUAAUAGAUUUAUAGUUGCAAGAACUGUAUAAAAUAUACUAACUAAAUGAGUGGAGAUAAACAAUAUAUUCAAAAAUUUGAAAUCAAAAUGUCAUCGAUCGACCCAAGUCAAAUAAAUUAAAAGAUUAAAUAGUAAUAUCAAAAUUUUGAAAGGUUGGUAACUGAUUCAAAAUAAUUUAUAAUUAAUGUAAGUUCCGAAUACUUUAAUUAACCCAAAAGAAUGCAGAUAGAGUAAAAUAUGUAAAAUUAGAGAGAAAAAAAAAAAAACUGAUCUAGAAACAUUCACUAUUUAAGAGCCAUUUGACUUAUAAAUACAUUAUAAUUAGAGAUGCGAAAUUUAUAUUUGUAUUUAUUCCGUUUAGCGCUAUGUAAGAAAAGGAAGUGACUAUAAAUCUUUUAUUUACUUGCUUAUAAUUAGAAAGUACAUUUACAAGUUUUAUUAUUUCACAUAUGAUAUGGGGGGAAUUAUUUUUUAAAAAUAAAAAUUUGUUUUUUAUUUAAAAUGUGAAUGGAUAGAAAAACGUUUCUUUUGUAUAAAAUUACUUUUUUAAUUAUUGUAUUUUCAACUGCUGCAAGUAAUUGCAACUCUCUUUCUUUUUAAAUUUUUUGGAAUUUAUGUUAAAACCAAAGAAAAAUUUGCACAACUUUUUUAAAAAAAGGAUUUAAAGAGCACACAUGUUAUCGUUACAUAAGCUGUAACCUGUAUAAUAUUUGCUUAUUUUACUCGUCUCGUCAACACCCUUUAUUUAUUGCAUUGUAACUCUAUGUUGCUUACUUAUUAGAUGUAACCUGAGUUAAUGAUAUAAUAAUGUGUUUCCUAAUACAUUAUUUGGUUUAUAUAUUAAAUUUUAUAUUAGAUUUUGUACCAUGCGUGAAUCCUAUUAUAGUGAAUGAUGCUUAUUGAAUUGAUACAAAGAAAAAGAAUUGCGACAAGUAGAGCAAAAGAUUCUCUUUUGAACAUGUAGAUAUUAUAAUCAUAAAUUAUGAUAAAUUUUUGUUGAUAAGAUACCAAGUGGGAUUUAAUGGAGUUAGAGGUCGUUUAGUUUAAUAUACAAUUUUAUAAUUAUAUUUUUUUUGAAUUUAUAGUUUUUUUUUUCAAAUUUAAAAAAUAAAAUAAAAUAGAAAGCAAACAUGGAGUCAAACGAGUUGAAUAUAGUCUCAUGAAUCUCAUGUUUGAGGGUAUUAAUGGGCCGGGUUUGGAUCAACCUUAUCGGAGCCCAUGACUCGGUCCGAAACUGAAAAGUUAAGUGGAGCGUGGACCGGGCCUCGGCCCUAGAGCCAACAUUUUACCCAUCUCACCAAAAGAGGGGGGGGGUGGGGGGUUCAGGGACCAAAGUGAAAUAUCUGAAGAGAUAGAGGGGCGCUGGUGCAAUUAAGACUGUAAUUGUUGUCCUAAUACCUGGCCUUCGAUUUUGAUUUGGACGGCUGAGAUCACUUCCGAACGGCCUCUGAUUUCCCGGCAAAACCCCGCGAACAACUGUAACCGUCGCAUCCUCUUCCUACGUAUCGUGCGAAAACCGAAAUUUUACAAAUUAACCCCUCCAUUUCUUCGAAUUCCAAUCCGAAACCCCUUCUCUCUCUCUCUCUCGCUCCGGUUAUCGCCAUGGGAGGCUCUCAUAGUCGCGAGGGCCUCGAGCUCUCCGACGAGGAGGAGGAGGACGAAGAAGAAGAGGAGGAAGAAGACGAAGAAGAGCACGAGCAGCGCGAAGGAUCCCAAACCCUAACCCCGCCCUCCCUCGAUGACGUCGACUCCAAACUCCGCUCCCUUAAGCUCAAGUACUCCUCCAACCCUUCUCCUUCUCCUUCCCCUUCCCCUUCCUCCUCCUCCCAAAACGCUAACCCUAACCCCAACCCUAACGACGCCGUCAAGCUCUACCUCCACAUCGGCGGGAGCUCCCCCACCGCGCGGUGGAUUGUCUCCGACAAGCGCGCCUCCUACUCCUUCCUCAAACCCUCCCCCCUCCCCGACCGCGCUGAUGACUCCUCCUCCCCAUGGUCCUUGGUGAUCGGAUCCAAGGUGCGCGCCAAGGUGGGCGCGGAGAUGCAGCUGAAGCCGUUCCCCGAGCAGCGGCGCGUCGACUUCGUGGCCGAUGGGGUUUGGGCCCUCAAAUUCGCCUCCGCGGAAGGGUACCGCGAGUUCCAGAGCCAGUACCGGAGCUGCCUCUUCGAGAACACCUACGGCCUCGCCGCGACGGAGGAGAACCGCGCCAGGGUUUUCGGUAAGGAUUUCGUGGCGUGGGCGCAACCCGAGGUUGCAGACGACGCCAUCUGGGAGGAUGCCGAGGGGAGCUUCGAGAAGAGCCCGAUUCUCCCGGUUAGGGCGAGCCAGGACCUGUUGGAGGAGUUCGAGGAGGAGGCCAUUGAUGGCGGGAUUCAGAGCCUUGCGCUCGGAGCUUUGGAUAAUAGCUUCUUGGUGAACAAUUCGGGGAUCCAGAUUGUAAGGAAUUUCAACCAUGGAGUUCACGGGAAGGGCGUUUCGGUUAAAAUUAGCCAUGAUGGGGGUCAGAUUGCAGGGUCUUCGACCCCAAAGAAGGCGCUUUUGAUGAGGGCGGAGAGCAAUAUGCUUCUGAUGAGUCCGGGGCAAGCGGGGAAGCCCCACUCGACAGGUGUUUACCAGCUUGACAUCGAAACGGGGAAGGUCGUUACAGAAUGGAAAUUCGAGAAGGACGGGUCUGACAUUACGAUGAGGGACAUCACGAAUGAUAGCAAAGGCUCGCAAUUGGACCCUUCGGAGUCUACCUUCUUGGGAUUGGAUGACAAUAGGCUCUGCCGAUGGGAUAUGCGGGACCGGAGCGGGAUGGUUCAGAAUAUCGCCAGCUCAAAUGAAUCUCCGGUUUUGCACUGGACUCAGGGCCAUCAGUUCUCUAGGGGCACUAAUUUCCAAUGCUUUGCUUCGACCGGCGAUGGGUCUGUUGUGGUGGGUUCGAUUGAUGGGAAGAUCCGCUUGUACUCGAAGAAUUCAAUGAGGAUGGCCAAGACUGCAUUUCCGGGGCUUGGAUCCCCCAUCACUAAUGUCGAUGUUACCUUCGAUGGGAAGUGGAUACUGGGUACUACGGACACUUAUUUGAUACUCAUAUGCAGCAUCUUUAAGGAUAAAGAUGGAAAGGAGAAGACUGGUUUCAGUGGACGCAUGGGGAACAAGAUUGCGGCUCCAAGAUUGCUGAAGCUUACUCCACUGGAUUCGCAUCUGGCUGGGAAGGACAAUAAGUUUCAUGGGGGACAGUUCUCCUGGGUGAGUUUGAUUACUUCCCCUUCAUGCAUAUAUAUGUGUGAUGUCAUACAUGAUGUCAGUUUCUACUCAUGUAGUAGUUAAAUAUUAGUUGAUUAGUUUCUGUAGUUAUAGUGUUACUUGACUUGUGCUUCGCAUUUGCAUAUUUCCAAUUUUUAUUUGUCUUCCCAGGCUGUGACUAGCUUCUAGGAAUUAUAAUUUGUUGAAGUAUUCAUUUUUUUCAGUCUAACUAGAGAAAUCUGUAAGGAUGAAGGUAACUGUUGCUGUCUAUUUUGGAAUGAGAGGUAAUAUCCAGCUGUAGAGUUACUGUCAGGGAAACUAAUGCACUGACUUAUUUGUAUAAACCAACAUUACAAGCAAAUGCACUUAACCGGGGGGAAAAAAAACAAAAGCAGCUCAUGGAGAUAGAAAUAGUAUAAACUCGUUUAGUUUCUUGACAUGUACUUUCAACUUGCUAUGAAGUAGAGAUGAAAACAAGCAAUUGUUUUCGUAUUUUAGCUGAAACUUGAGAUGCAUUUGUUAUUGUCAAAAUUAUUGACUCGGCACUAGAAUGUAAAUUUUCAUGAAGACUCUAGACAUAUACAAUGAUGAUAUGAAACAUGAAUAUUCGCUCGUAUGAGAAUAUGGCACUUUCCACAUCUAUAGUAAAGUUUAGCUGUUUAGAAAGAGCAAAGAACAUUAGUAGGCAUGUUCCUCAAAGAACCGUUACAGAGUAAAUAUCUGCACAGAACACAUCUCUGGUCAAGAUUUAGUCUAGCAUGUUUCAGUUCGCUCGAGGUGACCUGUCCCAAAUUGCCAAUAAUCUAAGAUGGAUACCAGGAGGUAAGGUUUCUACUCAUUUAGAUGAUUUGGCAUUUGUAGAUUCAUUGACUGUUGAAGCAAUUCCCAUCUGGAAGUUUGAGUUACUUUGAUUGCCUUGGCUAUUUCCUAGCGCUUGCUAAGCGUCUAAGUGCCAGGCAAAACAAUAACACUCCAAUCUUAACUUGACCCCUACAGUUCACUAUCAGAUCUAAUCUUGUAGCAUUGCCAGGGGAGAUUUUUAAAAAACUCCUCAAUCUCGAUAUCAUGCCUGAGUAUCCCAUAUAGUAUAAUUAGUGCUAGAACCUUGCACAUAACGACUAUGAGUAGCAAGGGUGAGAGGCAGCUAAGAACUCGAAUUCAAGACAGAUGUCAAAAGGACAAGGAAUCUUGUCAUUGGUGGCGAUUAGAACAGGAUGUAUUUGGCAAACUCCAAAGUAUCGCUUUACGGUAGGAGUGAGACUUUAGCAGGUUUGGCCGUUUUUGCUAUUUUGGGUUUCACUUUGUCUUUCAGUGGCUAGGAACCCAUAUCAUAUAACGGCGGUCCAAAUGCUUAGAAAGCAUAAGCUUCAUUACAGAUAAAUUUGAGAGUUAUUCAGAUCUUUAGAGGAAGUUGCAGGAAAACAACUUUUGCGCAAAUUUGCUUCUGCGGUUGUUCUAUAUUUACUAUCUGCAGCAGUCUUGGUUUCUAUGGGGAUAAGUUUAUGUCAGCACUUGUUUCCUGUGGAAGAUGAAUUUCUGCAUGGGAGGAAAAAGAACCUAGAGAAGAGCCAUUCGCAUCAACAUCUCUUACUGCUGUAAGUUCCUAUCGAGAUUUUGUUGGGACCUCUAGUUUCUAGCUAAAGAGAGGGAUAUUAGAUCGAACAGAGGUAGAGAAUGAAUAGGACAAAAUGGACGGGGAAGAAGACAGGGUGCAUGGAUGAAUUCGCCUACUAUGGUUGAUCUUUAUUCAAGGAUACACCAAGUGUGACUCCACUUUCUGGACAGAAAUAAGUUGUUUCCGAGUAAAUAGAAAUUUGGAAUUAGUCUGGUGCUUUCGGAUUGCCCCAGGAAAUAUUGCGCUAGAUUUUAGUGUUUGUAUUGUCCACGACAUCUUUUGCUGGAUGAUAAGCAUGAUUUUUACAGGAGCUUUUGCAUAUUAUAAAAUGUACCAAAGAAAGUUUUGCAUUUGAAUAGUUAGAAUUUCUGAAAGUAGCUGUUUAAAAUAUUAGUCAUUUCUAGCUAACUACUUUUUUUUUUUGAAAGGAAUGUAUAGGGUAUUUCCUAUACGUUUCAUUGAAUGUAAUAAGAGUUACAUCUACUUGGCGAAAAGCCAUCAUAACUAGCCAGUAGAACAACGAAAUUCCGCUUAAGCACCUGAAUAUCCUUCUAAUACGGACGACUACAUUAUGCUUAUAUUUUUUUUGAGAAAAACAUUAUGCUUAUAUUGUCAUCUCGAAAACUUGAGAAUAUUCAAGAAAAAGAUGAUGGUGAGGUAAUGAACGUAAUUUCUUAUAUCAUGAGAUGAUGAGACAAUGAAUAGCAAUCAUUUAUUUGCCUCCAAUGCAAGUCAUAACAUGAGUGAUUGCUAUUCAUUAUCACAUUAAAUUUUGUUGCGUUCUCACUCCAAUUUGGAUGUCCAUUCACAUGCAUAGUGCAUUAUUUAUCUUUCUCAGAUGAUGAAUGCCAAGAUCCUAUUCUCGAAAUUCCUUUGGUUUUUUGUUGGAUUAACUGUCUCUCUUUUCACUGCUGCGGUAUCUUCAGGUGACAGAGAACGGUAAACAGGAGAGGCACCUGGUUGCAACAGUCGGCAAAUUCAGCAUCAUAUGGAAUUUCCAGCAGGUAAAGAACAGCAACCACGAGUGCUAUCGAAACCAGGAAGGGUUGAAGAGCUGCUACUGUUACAAGAUCGUCCUCAAGGACGAAUCCAUCGUCGACAGCCGCUUCAUGCACGAGAAAUUCGCCACAAGCGACUCCCCAGAAGCUCCUCUCGUGGUCGCAACCCCAAUGAAGGUUAGCUCCUUCAGUAUAUCAAAUCGGCGCUAACUUGUGAUUAUUUCGUUUUCCCUUUUCUAAUUAUCGCAUGGAGUGGAUUGAUUGCUGUUGAUAGAAUUGGUUUGAAAUUACAGAUUUGUUUGUGCAUAAAUUGUCAAUAUGCUAUAUUUAUGUGGCAUAAAUUCCUGCUUGUGGUUUUUAUAAUCAAGAUUACAUCAUUGUAAUGGCUGGAUUUCUUGGUGAUUUUGAGCAUAAUUUUUUCGUUUCUAUUUUUUUUUUUUUUAAAAUGCAUAUAUAUUACAUUUGGUUUCACAUGUUUAUUAUGGGCCAUUUUAUAGUGGGCCACACAGGCUGCUACACACAUUAUCGAUAUCUCGUAGCCAUAUUUUCAUAUUUGAAUCAUUGAAUUGCACACGAAUCAUAUGUAAACUAUUAAAAAGGUGAAUGUGUAGAGGUAGAGGGGCGUAUUGUACAUGCGAUCGCUCUGUGCUAUAAUCUGGUGCACAGAAUUUUCCUACACUCUGUACGAUCUUACUGUUCCUUCAAACUACUGUGAUGAUUCAUUAAUCCAAUAGUUGGUCAAUUCGACAGUUGACAUGCAAAUUGUGUUAUGCGUGGUAAGAGAGUUUGAUAGAAAAAUACUUUAUUUGUCUUCGUAAGUUGGUUAAGAUAUAAAUUUCUAUAGUCUUCUAGAAAGAUAGAGAGUAUUGUUAUAUACUUUCGACCUAACUCUUUUGUGCCCGAUAGCGUUAGGUGCAACCUUUCGUGCUGAAUGGGCCCUUCGAAGUAUGGUAGCAUUAGUCGGUGCCCGAGAAAGUCAUGCAAAUAUCCUCCCCACCUUAUCCUCUUUCUCGCAUGCAUAUUAUAUUCUACUUUGUUAGCAGAAAAAUCUUGCACACAUAAUCAUUUUACUGUAGAUUUACGACGGAAUGGAUCUCUGCUCUAGACUAUCAGCGGCUAAGAUCCCAUCUGCAGCAUACGUAUCAGGUUACAGGAUUUUUGUGCGCACGGAGCUGCAGAAAAAAUUGCACUCGACUUUCUCAUGUGUCUCUAUGUGUGUGCUGUCUGAUGGAGAACCAACAACUUCGAGCCAGACCAACAGCUUGGUUGACAAAGGCCAGGCUGUAGUCAAUUUUCUACGGCCUCGUGCCAAAACUCCAAUUCCAAGCACUUGACCAUUUUUUGAUUCUGCACAAGGUCAUUGUUUUGCUUUUGAUUUUGAAAUCUUAACGACUUACCAUUUGGAUUACUUAGCUGAGAAAGUAUGAUUAAAAAAAAAAUUUAUUUGUUUUCGUACGUAAUAUCACGUUUCGCAUACUGUAAUAAGUCGGUUAUAAUAUAUUUUCUGCGGUUCUAAAAACUCAGAAAUACAUUUAUAUAUGUUUUUAUACCAAUUUUACUUUAUCUAUUAUUAGGCCCUUAAGUCACUAGCAAGCCCUUCAUAUAUUCUUUUGCUAGAGUGCAUAGUACAUAACCACAUCAAUGAUCAACCACAAAUUAAACUUCUCACAUGGCGCUUUUUUCGGGCUUGAUUUGUUAAUCUCUUUACAUUUUAGGGCCCAUUUGUACAAUGAAACAAAUUAGAGGAAGACGUACAGAACUUACUUAAACUAUGAGCAUUUUGAAUCAGUUAUCUGAUCUUUCAAAAUUUUGAUUUUACAAUCCAACCUUUUCAAUUUGUUUGGUUAGAGUAAGUCAAUAAUACUUUAACUUCAAAAUUUAAGUUUAUUGCUUAUUUUAAUAUAUUUAUGAUUGCCAGAAUUGUAUAAAAUAUACUCACUAAAUAUAUAAAGAUAAACCAUGCAGUCAAAUUUUCAAGUCAAAGUAUUAUACCGACUAAAGCAAAAUCAAAAUUUUGAAAGAUCAGAUAAUAAUUCAAAGUGAUUGAUAGUUCAGCAAAAGUUCUGUAUAUUUUUAAGCAACAAAGUACUUAAUAAUAACUUUUUUGUUAUUAUGAUUAUUCUUUUAUGAAUAUUGCAUCCUAGAGUUUGUUGUUAGUCCAUUAAUUAAUAUAGAACUCUCUAGUACCCACAAUUUUUCGAGAUAAUGCUUACUACAUUUAUUUAAAGGAUGAAUUUAUUUGUUACAGAGAAAUUGACUUAAUAAGAGGUUUUAUAUCCUAUGUUGUAGUACUCUAGUAAACAUUUAAUCAAACCCAUCCAUCAAACUUGCCAAAAGUAAUAUUCUGAAACAAGAUAUUAAUUCAUAAUAUUUCUUUUUUUCAUGGUGCAAAAGCUAACAUUUCUUAAAGCAUCAUUUUAAUAUAAAAUUAUAAUAUUUUCUCCGCUUAGAGACUCUACCAUCAAAUACGACACAAUAUAAUAUCUUUUUUUUUUUUUUUUGUAGUGCAAGUAUUAAUAUUUCGUAAAGCACCGUCUUAAUAUAAAAUUACUGUAUUGCAUUUGCUCUGAGGCCCUGCAAUCUAAUACGACGAAAUAUAAUUAAUUUGACAUAUAUACAUCAUAUUUGUGGUGUAUAUCUUAUACAAUAUAGACUUUUGUGACCCUUGGUUAAGUGUCCUAGUAUCGUUAGAUUCGGAGAUAAGCAAAAAGUGGCUAUUACAGGAAUAGGUAUAAAUUGAGGUAUAAGCGGGGAUUAAAUCAAUUUUAUGUUUGGAUGAAAAUUGGGUUAUUCCUGAGAAUAAAAAAAAUAACGUUUGGUUAGGUAAGGUGGAAUAAGAAUUAAAGUUGGUAGAUAUAAAUAAAAAAUAUUGAUAUUAACCCUCUCCUUAUAUUUGAAUUUGAAAUUUUAAAUUAUAUAUAUAUAUAUUUUAAAAUUUAAAAUUUUAACUUUUAAAUUUCAAAUUUUCAAAUUAAAGUUUAAAAUUUAAAAUAUCAAAAUUUAAAUUCAAAAUUUUAAAUUUUAAAUUUUAAAUUUUAAAUUUCAAACUUUAAAUUUUAAAAUAUAAAAUAUCAAAUUUUAAAAUUUGAAAAUAAAAAUAGGGGUGGGAACAAUUAAUAAAAUUAAUUUACUAUAAUAAAUUUAUAAAUUUGAUAAUAAUAAAUUUUUUAAUAAAUUUAUAAAUUUUUUAUUAUUAAUAAAUUAAUAAUUUUUUAAAAUUCUAUUUAAACUUAAAUUUAAUAAAAAUAAUAUUUUAUAAUAUUUAAAUAUAAUUUAUUAUAAAAUUUAAUAUUUAAAUAUAAUUUAUGAUAAUAUUUAAAUAUAAUAAUAUGUAUAAUAUAGUAACAAUUAAUAAUUUUAUAAUAAAAAUAAUAUAUUAUAAUAUAUAACAUAUUAUAUUUAUAUAAUUUAAUUUUAAUUUAAUUUAUAAUUUUAAUAAAGUUUGAAAUUAAACAUUGAAUAGCACUAUUCCAUCAAAAUGGUGGAAUAGUAAAUCCCUCACUAUUUUGGAACAGCCAAAAAUAGCAAAGUUUG
rnacentral:lncRNA from 1 species